rnacentral:lncRNA from 1 species
CGCAAGUCUGCUGAUGCUCCCGGCUGAAUAAACCUCUUCCUUCUUUAAUUCGGUGUCUGAGGAGUUUUGUCUGCGGCUCAUCCUGCUACAUCAAGGUACAAGAAAGAGAAUUUCCUGUGCUACAUCAAGCUCAUUGAUGGAAUUACAAAUAUGUUCCCAGUGUUUUUGUUGUCUUAUCAGAAGGGUUGAUCAGGAUAUGUAACCUACUGCAAAAGACAGAAUAAUGGCCCCCCCGAAAGAUAUCCAUGUUCCAGACUACGUCACAGUCUGGAACCUGUCAAUGUGUUACCUUUCACUGCAAAAGAGACUUUGAAGAUGUGAUCCAGGGAGAUUGUCCUGGAUCAUCUGAGUGAAUCUAAUCAUAUGAGUCCUGAAAAGUGGAGACCCCUUCCCAGCUGUAACCCGAGGGAGACAGCUGUGACUUUGGAAGAGGGGCCAGAGAGAUGCCACUAUGCUGGCUUUGAAGAUGGAGCAUGGCGCCAUGAUUCAACAGAUGCAGCAGCUUCUAGAAGCCGGAAAAGGGAAGGCAAUGGUUUCCCCCUGGGGCCUCCAGGAAGGAACGUAACUCUGCUGACACCUCCAUUUCAGCCCAGCGAGACCUAGGCUGGGCUUCUAUGACCUACAGAACCAUGAGAUAAUAAAUGUGUUGUGUUAAGCCCCC